rnacentral:rRNA from 1 species
GACGAACGCUGGCGGCGUGCUUAACACAUGCAAGUCGAACGAUGAUCUCCCGCUCGCGGGGGUGAUUAGUGGCGAACGGGUGAGUAAUACGCGAGUAACCUGCCCUUGACUCUGGGAUAAGUCUGGGAAACCGGGCCUAAUACUGGAUACUACUUCCUGCCGCCCGGUGGGGGGUGGAAAGGGUUUUACUGGUUUUGGAUGGGCUCACGGCCUAACGGCUUGUUGGUGGAGUAAUGGCUAACCAAGGCGACGACGGGUAGCCGGCCUGAGAGGGUGACCGGCGGCCCUGGGACUGAGGCAAGGCCCAGGUUCCGACGGGGGGCAGCAGUGGGGAAGCUUGAACGAUGGACGGAGGCCUGGUGCAGCAACGCCGCGUGAGGGAUGACGGCCUUCGGGUUGAAGACCUCUUUCAGCAGGGAAGAAGCCACAAGUGACGGUACCUGCAGAAGAAGCGCCGGCUAACUACGUG